CAUUUUAUAAAAUGCUGAAAAUAUUUAUGGGCACCUCUGAAAUUAAUUCCAACAGCCCAAAAAUACUUCCAAGAUUAUUUGGACAUUUAAAAAUAUUUAUAGCAUUUAAAUGUCCAAAUGCAAAUACUUUAAGAUUUAACUCAAAGAUCCAAAGUGUCCUAGAAAAGUGAGCACCAUUUUUGGCAGAGGUUAUGGACCAAGGCAAAGAUGAUGAACAUUUAGAAGGGCAUUUCAGGAUCAUUGAAAAGAUUUUUAUUUUGAUCCUAAUUGCAUUUAAUUUAGUGCUAGGGCUUGUCAUCCCCAUUUCAAAUUUCAAACAAAUAUAGACAUGAUGCAUGGAUGCUUAUGAAACUAGUUGCAAUCAAAUUCUAGGGCUCUGACAACUCACCCCCACUAAACAAGAAUCUCGCCGCGAGAUUCAAGACAUGAGGUAAGAAGACAGAGGGGACACAAAGCUAACACCAUCUUCAUGAUCCGAUUGCCCUCUUCGAAGAUGUUGAUUCAUUUCUCCAAUUGAUCUUGACGCUUUUGUGUCUGAGCUCUUCAUCCCACACGAUGACGGCGGAAGGAAACUCUACAGGAAACGAUCUUCUCAAAGAUCGAGCAACUCAAGAUCAACUCAUGGAGUGAGAUAUAGAACAUCUCUUGAGCGGAGACAUGAAACACACAUCAGGGGUGAUGGAAAGAAGCGGAUGAUAAAGGUUCAAAUUUGGUAGGCAACAAUUCCACGCUUAAGAUGAUGGUGCAUGGUUUCAAAGUAGCGAGGACAUAAUUGCCAUGAUACCAUAACGGGACAUCUUAAAGAAGGUGACUCGCAUAAAUAUUCCCUUAAGUGGCAAAAAGAAUUACUUUUGAUACAAAGAUCAUUGAAACUCUUUAUACCAGCCUGAGGUAAUCACAAUCGAUCGUUGGAAGGGGUUCGAAAGAAUGGCAUACUCCGACUAGCAUGGAUGAUGUGGACUACCUUGUUGAAGACAACACAAGGGAUGAUUUUGCUUGUGCGUGCUCUCAAGAACUUGAGCAUUUCCAUAUUCAUCAAGGUUCUACCAACAUCCAUGCCGAGGAUCCUGGCAACACAUCCUACUGCCAUGGUGAAUAGUGAUGGUCAAUGCAGAUACAAAGGAGGACAACACUUUCUCAGAUUUCACCUUAGCGAUGCCAAGGAAACAAAAUCUGGAUGUUCGACCGAGAGACAUUUAGAACUCUGCUUCUAAUGUUCUCCUUGAUGUGGUAGCGUAAACCAUUUAUAGAUAUGGUUUGGUAUCUAGAACAUCAAGUAAAAGGUCGGACUUCGGGAGCACAAGAAUCCAUAAGGAAUAACUACUGGAGUAAAUCCUACGAAAUCCUUAUGGGGAGGUGGCCAACUUCCUCAAUCAAGAUACUACAAUGAUAGGUCUUCCAGCUGGGUGUGUUGGCCACGACAUCCACCUUACCGGUUUAGAAAGACCAACAUUAUAAUUCCUGGGAAAAGGUCCAACCAUCAUAUCUGCCUAAGAUUCAGAUCUGGUUGGUGUCAGGAUAUUCCAGACUCAUCAAGUCCAGAGAGAAAAAAAUGAAAGUUUGCAACACAAGUCGACGAGAUGACGUUGCAGGAUUCUCGGGAAAUAGACUACGGUAGCAUGCUCCAAAACAUGAGCUGGUUCUGCUAAAAACACAUGUGAACACGCUAUCGCAAACAAGCAUGACCACAUAGUAGUCUUAUAAUAAAAUACUACCGAGUUUAGGUGGGGAACCAUCAUCGAGGAUAUCGAAGUCUUGUGCACUUAAAUUAGACUUCUUUACCUAGAACAAGUCAAUCGAUGGCUUGGUGGGCUACAGAAUUCAUAUGGAGUGGAGGUAAUUAAUCUACCAAACCAUAGUAUACUUUGCACAUGCAUGACUGACUUGGGACGAUUCCAAAGGAAGCAAAACUAACUCUCUCAAAUUCACGGCGGCAACUUGCAUCGAAUGCACAUGAAUGAGAGGAAGUCACUUCUUUCAUCCAAACAUAUGCUUCAUGAACGGAACAUGAAGGCAUUGUUCACAAAGUUUCGAACACUAGCUUAAUGUUUAACACGAAUCAUGGGGGAGACAAGAUGCUGCUGAUGGGCCCAAUAGCAACUCAUCGGAAUUUCCAUAUCACUAGACUUCCACCAUCAUGUGAACACGGUGAUAGCAUUGGUCAGACCAAAAGAUGUAAUAGUGUAUGCUCGAGGGAUGGACCACGAGUAAGACAACAUUACGAACAUCGUUGGUUCUGAUUUGACUUGAGGAUAGCCCAUACUCAAGUCAAAGUUUUGACAAGACAGAUAGAUCCAACAACUGAUCAUGAGGACCAAUCGAUGAAGAUAUCAUCUUUCUUCAACACACACACAACACACAAGGAUAUCACUUUGGAAUGAACUGAGUCGGACAAGCUGUUAUCUUUCAACUCUCCAAGUUGUUGUUUAGCUUAACCAACUAGCUCGGGGUAUCCAACCCAGAUUCUUGGAGAAUGGCUAGUUUACAAGAACCCAACUUGAUCACGAACUCCACAUACCGGGCAGGGGAUGACCUAGUGAUACUUCCGUGAAGAUAACCGGAAAAUCACGAACCACCGAUAUGUUAAUAAGAUCGAGAACAAUCUUGCUUUUUAGGGCAAGACGAUAUGAUCAAAUGAGCGAGGAUUUGACAAAAUCCUAACUCAUCAAUCGAAGGGUGCACCAGGAACAAGGACUAGGUAGCACGAUCAAUCUUAGGGUGAUGAUUCAACAACCAACACGCCAGGAAUGAGAUUAUUGUCCAUUAACUACUAAGCAGCGGAGUUGCUAGGAGUAUUUAUUUCACACAUCAUAGUUCACUUGCCGGCAUUCCAGUUGCGACAACACGGGACCGAGGAAUGAAAAAUGAUGGCAAGAAGUAUCACUACAUCAAGAAUUCAUAAGAGAUGGUGCAAUUCUCAUGAUAUUCUUGACAUAAAGUGGGUAAUACUUCAGGGUAGAACAGACUCAAAAGCUUGAUUGCAUUUGAUCUGCGGAAUACAACUGCUUUGACCCAAUCUUAGAAAUGGAUGAGGUACUGGAGUUUGUUUCUCCUAGUCAUUCUGGAAUAGAAUGGCUUGACGGACCACAAGAAUAAUAAGCAUCGAUAACACGGAUGCACAAUUACUCUUGAUCAACAAUUGACAAACGAAGGUCAGAUAACAGCUAAAGAGGGACAACUCAAAGGAACAUAUAUCUUUCUGAGUUGUAGAUGCAUAGAUUAGCAUGUCGAACGAGUUCAACAUAAUUCUUCCGGAUAACCCAUGCAGAAGGGUAGAACUGGCAGAGUCACAAUAUAGAAUCGAGAACUCAUCAAGAGCUUUGGUCGUGAUCUUUGGUUCAAGAACUUCUGCCAUAUUGGUUCAUGGUACUGGAAGAAUGAUGUACCACGAACCUCGAGGUCUAUCACAAGGUUUACUAAUGUCCUAAGGAACUAGCAAACACUAUCAACAUGAAGCAAGUAGAGUGAAUCUCGGGUUCAAGUACCCAGGAAUAGAAUACCUACUACUAAGUAGCAUCACGGGAUGCUUUUGGAAAUGAUGGCUAGAUUCAUCACACCGGGAACACAAAACAUGGCUAAAUUACUAGGUGACUCCCUAAGACACCUAGGGUCAUAAUAAUAGCUCCAACAUAUAUGUCGAGGCAAUAGAGUACCUCAACUCACGGAUUAGUGUGGUUGAACUGGCCCAAAGGGACAUCGGGAACAGAAAGAAGGGAUUUGCAAAUGCAUCAGAUUGUUUAGAAACCUGAGAUGACUCGGACAGCAUAACGGCUGUAAAUGCUCAAAAAGAUUUGAGGCAUCCUGCAAAAUGGUGGCAUAACCACUCAGAAGCACAAAAUCAAGGUUUUGAGACCAACUAUGAACACAUGGGGGUGGUAGAAACUGAACUGGGGCUUAAAUCCAUCAAUCCUAUAAGUCUCUAGCAUAGUAACUCAUCAUCCUGAUAGAUAGAUGAGAAGGCCUAGUUCUUAAUCCCCGUAGAAAGGAAUAGGAUGACUCAGAUCAGAGGGCAUGAGGUAUAAGGAGUAAAAAGAGCCUUACGUUCCCUUCCACAAUCAAUUCCCUUAUAUAACUAAAGCAAUUCUAGACACGACUUCGACCAGUUUGGCUUGGUAAUCCUACAGGCAGUCAGGCUCUGAUACCAAAGCUGUCAGGACCCCGAUUCCAAGUCACAUUGAUCUAGCUGGUAACACCUCAUAUCACUUUGCGGCCUCACGCGCGGUAUGCCCACGGGUGUCGCCUUACCAGGGCCCGGGACCGUUUGCGUCUUUUGGCUCACUUAUAUGACAGUGUCGCUAGCAUCCAUAUGACAGAGAACCCGGGCCGACAUAGCUAGUCGUGAACCCAAAGCGGCACUAACCCAUGGGGACGGGCAUACAUGAAUCAACUUCGAGCAUGUCGGUCAGCAGCGUGUGAAUCCGGACUGUAGCACUGGGCUAACAGGACUCCGGUAACCCGGGCUGUAGCAGGCUAGGAAGGACUCCGGAUGUCACUGCGUGACAUUUCCCUGAAGGGACAGACACAGGAACGAAGUGAAACACAUGCCGGCCAGUCAAGUGUCCUGAGUAGUAGUGCUGGGCUAGCAGGACUCUGGUGAACCGGGCUGUAGCGGACUACUAUGGCUCAUGGAAGCACAAGACUACAUUUCCCCAUAAGAGAGGCUACCAAGGAUAAACAACUAGGUUGUCGGAUCCCACACAUACCAAGCAUUCCAAUCAUACACACAAUAUGCUCGACAUGUGUAAAUACAACAUGGCAUCACAACAUAACUCUACGACUCAAGUAUUUAUUCCUUAGGCUCCGAGGAGCGAGAUAUUACAAACAUGGGUCUCAUGACCCAACAUACAGAGCAUACAAGCAACAAGCACAUGCGGAAGCUUAACUUGUCUGAGUAUAGACAACUACAAAUGAAGAAGGCUGAGAAGCCUGACUAUCUACCAGAUCCUGCCGAGGGCACAAGAUCGUAGCUGAGGUAUCAAGCUAAACGUCGAAGUCCACGUGGAACUACUAGCGAGACUGAAGUCUCUCUGCAAAACAUAAAAUAAGCAAACGUGAGUACAAAUGUACCCAGCAAGACUUACAUCAGAACUAACUACAUAUGCAUCGGUAUCAACAAAGGGGGUGGUGGAGUUUAACUGCAGCAAGCCAGCUUUGACUCGGUGACUACCCUGAACUACGACUGCAAGUAACUCUUUUGAGGUGGCACACACGAGUCCACAUAUUCACCAUAUCAAUACUCCACUAUGGAUCCGCUCCCGUCUCCCUGCGAAAACGCCAUCCAUAGCACUCACACUUAUCUUGCGCAUUUUAAAGUAUCCACUUUCUCUUGUCUAUGAACUAUGCAAGGGGUCCAAGUUUCCAUAUCCAAGGAAUCCGGCUAUUCGAAUAGAUAAUGAUAACCCUGCAGGGGUGUACUUCUUCACACACGCUCUCGCCACUUAUCGCCCUGUACACGUCAUGUACCUCGGCAACCUUCAAGCGGAAGCCGGGCGAGGGAGUCGACCACGACCUGACUAACCAACAAGUCCCUAGUCCAGGUUUAUCGCCUAUUCGGGUUCCAUCCACAAGGAGAUCCGGCCGGGGUGUUGCUCACAGCCCCAAACGAUGUGUGCAGGGUUCCCAAGCCCACCAUCCGGGUGCCACUUGGUACACCGUGCCACUGUGCCUAGUCUGUCCCAAGCCCACCUGUACCGGGUGCCACUUGGUAGACUACUAACACUACCUACAAGCACCAGAAACUAGUUGCAACUCCUGGACAGAGAUCGAGUUGAUUAAUAAGCUGAGAGGGGCCGUGUUACCGGAACCCAAUGUGUGGUAGUAACUGUUCAUGGAUCACAAACACAGAACUCAGUUCCUGAGGACGGCUGUAAUGAGACAACCCACCAUGUACUCCUACAUGGCCUCUCACCGCUACCUUUACCAAAUCGUGUUCACACACUUAGCUCACACACAGUAGGACAUGUUCAACACCAUUCCAAUUCAUCCCCGAUGAAUCAGACCUGACUCAACUCUAAGCAGUAGCAGGCAUGACAAACAACAUGAAUGAGUAGGCACAUCGGGGCUCAAGCAACUCCUACUCAUGCUAGUGGGUUUCAUCUAUUUACUGUGGCAAUGAUAGGUCAUGCAGAGGAAAGGGUUCAGCUACCGCAGUUUGUAACAGUUGAAUUGUUGUUGUCCUAAUGCAGUAAAAGAGAGCAGGAGUGAGAGAGAGUGGGAUUAUAUUGGAAUGAACAAGGGUUUUUUGCUUGCCUAGAACUUCUGAAGAUAGUAUAGCUCUUCAUCGGUGUCAUCGAUCACGUCGUCAGAAACAACGUCUACUGAGAGGGGGCAAUUAUCGGCAAACAAGGAAGAAUACAAUCAAUGCAAUGCAACAAUAUGAUGCAUGAUCAUGACAUGGCAAUAUGUUGUGAUUUGGGCUAAUGCAACAUAAAGUCAUUUUAAUUGAAGUGGAAUUCAAAACUAUGUCAAAUUCCAACUCCAAACCUAUUAUGAAAUUUGCCCUAAUCAUGUUUCAUCCUAAACAGUGAGGUUAACUUGCUCAAACAUGCACGAAAAUGGUACAGAUGGAUUCCUUGAAUUUUUCUGAUAAUUUUUCAUAUAUAAAUUAUUUCAUUUGGAGCUACGGUUGAAUUUCUAUGAAUUUUAGAAGUUUUGGAUAUUUUCUGAAUUAAAUAAAUCAUUUCUGACUUAUUUAAAAUCCAGAAAACAUAUUACUGUGUCAGCAUGAUGUCACUAUGACGUCAUCAGGUCAACUCGGUGGUCCAGGUCAAACCUGACCAGUGGGUCCCACUGGUCAGUGUCAGAGUGCUGGUUAGGGUCGCUGACGUGUGGACCCAGUCAACGGCCAUGUCAGCACGGUCAAAGAUGACACGUGGGGCCACCGAGAUUAAGUUAAAUCUAAGUCCUGUGGUUAAUUAAGGGACGGAGCCCGCUGUCAGUGCCUUGGGAGGUUAAUUAGCGGGUGAUUAGCCUUUAACUAAGUGGCCACGUCGGUGGCUAACCGCCAGUGACACACAGACGCGGCGGCGUCGUUCGUUCCGGCGAUUCCGGCGACGAGAGGAGGCGGGGUUGGGCUCUAUGGGUAGCUGGCGCAACGUCGCGUCCGUUGGUGGCCGUGGUUGGGCCUGGGGUGGCCGGGGUCGACGGUGGCGAGCUCGGUUGCGGCUGCCGGAGUUCGGGUGGCCACGGGUUAGCUGCUGCAGCCUGCAAACGGGCGGUUGCUUGCGCUAGGAAAGCUCUACGGGACGCCGCGAACGCGUUGGAGUCGCCGGGGUGACCAAAUGGUCACCGAAGCUGCGUUGACGGCGAGCUCAGGCGGCGGCGUGCUACGGUCUGCAAGGGGGCGACGGCUACGGCGAGAGACAGACCACGGGGUAAGGGGAAAACGGUGGCGGAGCUCACAUCGGUGCCGUAUGGAUGGUUAGCGGGCUCGGGGACGCUCGGAGGUGUCGAAUCGGCGGUGGCGAUCUCCGGUGGCCGUCGGUGAUGAUGACGAUGAUGGCGAUGCGUAGGGCUCUUCCGGUCAUGUGAGACUAAGUGGAGGACGAGGGAGGCACGACAGAGCUCGGGGCCGCGUCGGAGAGGUGAGGGGGUGGCGGUGAGCGCGGCGAACGGCGUCAGUGGUCUCGGGUGUGCUCGGCGGCACGAGGAGGAGAGGCCAGAGGAAGGGGCGAAGCAGAGGAAGGAGGGGAAAGUGAGAGGGGGCCACCCUCAUCUCCUGGGCAUGCAGGUGGACUCGGGGAAGGCUAGCCAGCGCGAAACAGGAGGUGGCGCGCUCGGCCGCGUGCGAAGUCUCUCCCUCUGCCUACUGGCAGAGGUUGAAGAUGACUGGCAAGUCGCCAGGUGGGCUGGGCCGGCCACUUGGGCUCCAGGUGGGCUGCAUAGGUAAGGUUUCCUCUCUCUCUCUCUUUUCCAUUUCUGUUUUCUAUUUAUUCUGUUUUGUUUUGAUUUAGUAAAAUACUAAACCAUUUUAUAAAAUGUUGAAAAUAUUUAUGGGCACCUCUGAAAUUUAUUCCAACAGCCCAAAAAUACUUCCAAGAUUAUUUGGACAUUUAAAAAUAUUUAUAGCAUUUAAAUGUCCAAAUGCAAAUACUUUAAGAUUUAACUCAAAGAUCCAAAGUGUCCUAGAAAAGUGAGCACCAUUUUUGGCAGAGGUUAUGGACCAAGGCAAAGAUGAUGAACAUUUUAGAAGGGCAUUUCAGGAUCAUUGAAAAGAUUUUUAUUUUGAUCCUAAUUGCAUUUCAUUUAGUGCUAGGGCUUGUCAUCCCCAUUUCAAAUUUCAAACAAAUAUAGACAUGAUGCAUGGAUGCUUAUGAAACUAGUUGCAAUCAAAUUCUAG
rnacentral:lncRNA from 1 species